rnacentral:rRNA from 1 species
AUAGUUAUGUUCUUGAAAUUUAAAAAAUUUGGCGGUACUUUAGUCUUUUUAGAGGAACCUGUUCUGUAAUUGAUAGUCCACGUUUAAUUGUACUUUUUUUAAAAAUUUGUAUAUCGUCGUGGUUGAAUGUCUUAAUAGAGAGAAAUAUUCAUUAUUUAUAAUUAUAAUUGAAAUCAGAUCAAGGUGCAGUUUAUAUAAAAGAAGAAAUGGGUUACAAUAAAUUUAUUUAUACAGUUAUUAUAAUUAAAAUUGUUUUAUAAGGUGGAUUUAAAAGUAAUAUAAUUAAAUUAAAUUAUAUGAUUAAAGCUCUAAAGUAUGCACAUAUCGCCCGUCGCUUCCGUUAAUAUGGAAUAAGUCGUAACAAAGUGAGGGUACCGGAAGGUGUUCUUAGGUUGUCAAAUUAAAGUUUAUUAAAAUAUUUUAUUUACAUUAAAAAGUUAAUUGUGAGAUUCAAUUUAAUUUGAAUUUAUUAAUUUAUUAAGUUUGUUUUAAUAAAAGUAUUUUUUGUUUUUUUAUUUUAAAAAGAUAAAAAUUUUUUAAUUAUAGUUUAUUAGUAUAGUGAUAGAAAAUUUAAAUAUUAUGAAAUAUUUAAGUAUUUUAAAGAAAAUUUUAUUUUUUGUACCUUGUGUAUCAGGGUUUAUUUAAUAAUAGUUAUUUAUUUUAAUUUUCUCGAAUUUAAAAGAGUUAAUAAAUUAUAUAUUUUAUUGUAAAAUAAAUAUUUAAAAUAAUUUAUUAGUAAUGAAAUGUUAUUCGUUUUUAAAUAUAUCUAGUUUUUUAAGAAAUAAAUUUAAUUUAUCUAUUUAUUUUAAUUGAAUUUUUUAUUUAAUUUUAAUUAAAUAAUUGAGUAAUAACUUAUGGGAUGAGCUUUAAGUUUGAUUUAUAUAAAUUAAUUUUGAUUUAAAAAUUUUAUAGGAUUAGAAAUUUCUUUUUAGUUUGUUAUAAUAAAUUUUUAUUUUAAUAUAAUUUUUUUUUAUUUUAUAUACUUAUUAAAAUAAUUUAUAGAAUAAUAUAAUAUAUGUAAUAAUGAUAAAAUUAGUAUAUUUUAAUGUGUAAUAUAUUAGGUUUGUUAGGUUAAAUUAAGGAAUUCGGCAAAUAUUUUUUCGCCUGUUUAUUAAAAACAUGGUUUUUUGAUAAUGAUUUAAAAUUUGAUCUGCCCAAUGAAUUAUUUAAAUGGCCGCAGUAUUUUGACUGUGCAAAGGUAGCAUAAUAAUUUGUUUUUUAAUUGAAAACUGGUAUGAAUGGUUGGACGAGAAAAAUACUGUCUCAGUUUAAUUUAAUUAGAAUUUUAUUUUUAAGUUAAAAAGCUUAAAUAAAUUUAAAAGACGAGAAGACCCUAUAGAGUUUUAUAUUAUUUUUUUUUGUAUUUAUUUAGAAUUAUUUUAUUUAUUAAUUAAAGUAAUAUUUUAUUGGGGUGAUAGAAAAAUUAAAUAAACUUUUUUUUUAUUUUAACAUUGAUUAAUGAAUAUA